UUAUUGACUCUUUUGAUGUAAUUGAGUGGUGGCCUAAUUAAUCAUAUUUAAUUUAGAAUUUGCUAUAGAUAAAGGUCAAUCCUAACAGAUUUAGAACUACUUGAUAUGGUAUAUUUUAUCCAUAUCCCAUCUAUUUCAGAUUUAAAUAGAAUCCUAAUCAGAUUUUGAUAGGAAGUUGAUCUGAACUCUAUAUAAAGGAGUAUUGGUCCUGCCACCUUCUCAUACGCAUUCUGGUAAAGAAUUAUCAUCGGUUCCACUCCAUACGGUAGAGUGCCUGAGAUAGGAGGAGAAAUCAAAUCACGCAAGUUCGGUUCGUGACUUUCAAAUCAUAGCCGGACUUCACGCUUACGCAAGUUGAUCAGAAAUUUCUUCUCGAUGGCGCUCUGUGAGUUAUCUUAUAUUCUUAUUUUGAUCAUAAAUUUUGGUAUGUAUUUAUUUCUUUAUUUAUUUUACAUAACUUGAAUUUCUAUCACUUCUAUCUUCU
rnacentral:lncRNA from 1 species